rnacentral:rRNA from 1 species
UACGGGGGAUGCAAGCGUUAUCCGGAUUUAUUGGGUUUAAAGGGUGCGUAGGCUGUGAGGUAAGUCAGCGGUGAAAUGCCCCCGCUCAACGGGGUGAAGUGCCAUUGAUACUGCCUUGCUGGAAUGCGGAUGCCAUGGGAGGAAUGUGUGGUGUAGCGGUGAAAUGCAUAGAUAUCACACAGAACACCGAUUGCGAAGGCAUCUCACGAAUCCGCGAUUGACGCUGAUGCACGAAAGCGUGGGUAUCAAACAGG